CCUCCCACCCUCCCCCCUCCCCCCAGUGCGGCCCUGUCGAUGUGGCAGCUGAUGGUUGAGUUAACUCUCUCCUCCCCCAGCCACUCCUUUCUGGCUUAAUCCUUGGCAAAUUCAAAUUUGUUUCAAUUCUCUGCAUCACACCCUUGCACCGUUUUGGGUGUCUGGUAUCUGUCUGGGAAGAUCUUGAGCCUGAAAGCUGUGGACAGGCAUCAUCUCUUACACACACACACACACACACACACACACACACACACACACACACACACACACCACACCACUACAGUAUGCACACAUUUUUCAGGAACUUCCAGAGACGCCCUGAAACUAUUCAAAAUCCAGUUCAUAGGCUCAAUUAGUGAUCUGGCUUGGAAAGUCUUAUGGAAAUUCAGGUGCUCCAAGGACUAACCCUCUUCCUUAGGACAGGAAGGCUAAGCCCGAGAGAGAUCUUCCACAAACUGCCUAAAGCCUGCCACUCCACGUAGGGUCUACAUCUUACUUGACUACCUGCAUGGAUCAUUCAAGAAACGUAACGUAGAGGACUGCCGGUGGAGACACUCUCUCCCCUGCGGGUAUGCUCUCUGUCCCUGGGGAAGAUGCCUGAUGCUUGUUCCCUUUUAGUGAGACUUAUCUCCGUCACCUUGGGUGUCCCGCACAGGAAGUAGUUCACAGACCAUCUAGGAGCAGACAAGCAUCCCACAGGCUGGUCCAAGUCUUGGGAGGGUUCGGCAGUGAGGUCUGAAAGGUGUCCUGGGGCCCAAACCCCGUAUGUUCCCUCUUCCAAUCACCUCACUCCCUAAGUCUGGAUUCUAUCAGUUGUUGUUUUUUUUUUUUCAGAUGUCUAGGUACAGUAAAAGCGACUGUUGGUGGGUUCCUGUGAUGACCAGCUCUCAGAAUUAGGAUGGGAACAAUGGCAAUCCCAGGCUGGUGGAGACAAUAGCAUCGCAGGCUGACUGAGCUGACUGCCGCCACUGGGUGAUGUGGGGGUGGACAGAGACUCCAGGGACCUGAGCCGUCCCGGAGGGACUGAUGGAAGUGAACAGCUCGCCUUUGCUAUUCACAGACGGGCUUAUCCUUCUUGCAACGUCCCAUUUGGACAACUGAGCUCUGACCCAGAACUAGCUGUCUGCUCUUCUGGAACAGAGAGCCAGACCCAGCAGGAUGCAGCCAGACUCUCCGGGUUGGCCAUUGUGAUGGGCAAAUGAGGAUCAGAUUCCCAGAAAAGGAGACAACUGCCACCGAGGGGUGACAGAGGACAGAGCAGCAGCCUCUGCCACGGGAGAACAUUCAGAGAGACAGUGCUCCCCCCGCAAGAUCACGGCUAUUUUCUACAGAGCUCCAGAAACAGCAAGUUCUCCCAGAAGAGCCAUGGCUUCCUUCGGGUUCUCCAAAGUGUCUGUGAAGAAUCUUAAGAAGACCUUUUGAUGUAUAAGGCCCCAAGUCUUCUCCUUAACCCAAUAGGCAGGAGCUUCAGGCCACCAAAUUUAGGGUGCCAGUAGACUCCCCAGACAUCUGAUUUGCCCUUAGGACAGAUGUCUAUUUUCAUGGGAUUGGUUGCUAUAGCUCUAGGCAUCAUAGCAUCUAAAAUUAACUGCAGCCUUGUGUCUCAGUUUGGUAAAUCCAAGCAAAAGGAACUCCACCUGGUAUCAGCUUUGGGUUUCCACUUAGCCUUGGAUGAAAAUGUUGGAAACCUGUUUGGGACCAGGGGUUGGGAUAGAGUAUGUGGGAAUGCUACUCAAGGCCCCUGGGAGGACAGAGAACUAGAAUCUAGACUAGCCACGUGGCUCAGCAAGUCAAGUUGUUUGUCACCAAGCCUGACAACCUGAGACCCAUCCCCACAGCCCACAUAGUGGAAGGAAGGAAUCUACUCAUAUGAGUUGUCCUCUACCCAUCACUCACUCACCCAGUGUGGUGUGUUCACCCCAUCCCAGCACACCCAACACCACUCAAAUGAAUAAAUAAGAAAUAAAAAGAGAAAGUGAUAGAAUUCCAGGGAGGAUUUGCAUUUAGCAUUAAAGAAUGCUGGGUCACAGGAGCCCUGCAGCAAGGAUUACCCUGAUCAAGACAGAAUUAUGGGGGCUGGGUCUCCUGCCUCACCCAGUGCUUCAUGGGAAAGGAAGGAAGUAUAGGAGGCCUGGUUGAGCUCCCCCUCUGCCACUAAGUCUCCAUUAAUGUUGCAACACCUCAAAACCCUUAAUAUACAAAGUAAAUUUGUGCUCAUUCCCAGUCUGAACUAUAUUUUUUUCCCAUUUGUGAACUGGAAUAGACGGUUGAAUAACA